rnacentral:rRNA from 1 species
AUUGAACGCUGGCGGCAGGCCUAACACAUGCAAGUCGAACGAGGGGCGGGCGGGUGAGUAAUGUCUGGGAAACUGCCCGUUGGAGGGGGAUAACUACUGGAAACGGUAGCUAAUACCGCAUACCAUCGGAUGUGCCCAGGUGGGAUUAGCUAGUAGGUGGGGUAACGGCCCACCUAGGCGACGAUCCCUAGCUGGUCUGAGAGGAUGACCAGCCACACUGGAACUGAGACACGGUCCAGACUCCUACGGGAGGCAGCAGUGGGGAAUAUUGCACAAUGGGCGAAAGCCUGAUGCAGCCAUGCCGCGUGUAUGAAGAAGGCCUUCGGAUUGUAAAGUACUUUCAGCGGGGAGGCGUUACUCGCAGAAGAAGCACCGGCUAACUCCGUGCCAGCAGCCGCGGUAAUAC